UCGCCAGCACUCGACAAAAUUGCAUGUCAAAAGAUUGCCGCAUUUGUUCCGUUCUAUCUGACUAAUUUUAUUAUUCUAAGAUCAUACCUUCAAUAAAUAACACGGUCGGUUAAUUAUCUAAUCAUUUUUAGCGAAACCAAGUGAGUGACUGACUUACCUUCAGGAUGAAUAUUUUGAGUAUUUUGAUGCAGUGUAAAUAUACCUCGUUUUUUAUCGUUAUAACAGAUCGCGCCCACACACUCACACAAAUCGGAAUAAAACCGUAGAACCAUGGGCGUCGGCAGCGGAGUGCAGUUUAUUUUAAUUUUAAACUUAAAUUGUGGCUUAUUUUCCAAAAAAAAAAAACAGUAAAUGUCAUAA